CCUACGGGUGGCAGCAGUGGGGAAUAUUGCACAAUGGGCGAAACCCUGAUGCAGCGACGCCGCGUGAGUGAAGAAGUAUUUCGGUAUGUAAAGCUCUAUCAGCAGGGAAGAAAAUGACGGUACCUGACUAAGAAGCCCCGGCCAAUUACGUGCCAGCAGCCGCGGUAUUACGUAGGGGGCAAGCGCUAUCCGGAUUUACUGGGGGUAAAGGGAGCGUAGAUGGCAGCACAAGUCUGGAGUGAAAUGCCAGGGCUUAACCCCAGAACUGCUUUGGAAACUGUGCAGCUAGAGUGCAGGAGAGGUAAGUGGAAUUCCUGGUGUAGCGGUGAAAUGCGUAGAUAUAAGGAGGAACACCAGUGGCGAAGGCGGCUUACUGGACUGUAACUGACGUUGAGGCUCGAAAGCGUGGGGAGCAAACAGGAUUAGAUACCCUUGUAGUC
rnacentral:rRNA from 1 species